GUAGGUGGCAAGCGUUGUCCGGAAUUAUUGGGCGUAAAGCGCGCGCAGGUGGUUCUUUAAGUCUGAUGUGAAAGCCCCCGGCUCAACCGGGGAGGGUCAUUGGAAACUGGGGAACUUGAGUGCAGGAGAGGAAAGUGGAAUUCCACGUGUAGCGGUGAAAUGCGUAGAUAUGUGGAGGAACACCAGUGGCGAAGGCGACUUUCUGGCCUGUAACUGACACUGAGGCGCGAAAGCGUGGGGAGCAAACAGGAUUAGAUACCCUGGUAGUCCACGCCGCAAACGAUGAGUGCUAAGUGUUGGGGGGGUUUCCCGCCCCUCAGUGCUGCAGCUAACGCAUUAAGCACUCCGCCUGGGGAUACGGCCGCAAGACUG
rnacentral:rRNA from 1 species